CAGUCGCCGCGGGAAUACGUAGGGUGCAAGCGUUACUCGGAAUUACUGGGCGUAAAGCGUGUGUAGGUGGUUGUUUAAGUCUGUCGUGAAAGCCCUGGGCUCAACCUGGGAAUUGCGAUGGAUACUGGGCGACUAGAGUGCGGUAGAGGAUAGUGGAAUUUCCGGUGUAGCAGUGAAAUGCGUAGAGAUCGGAAGGAACAUCUGUGGCGAAGGCGACGAUCUGGGCCAACACUGACACUGAGGCACGAAAGCGUGGGGAGCAAACAGGAUUAGAUACCCCCGUAGUCCCUGUCUCUUAUAC
rnacentral:rRNA from 1 species